GCAUAAAUAGGUUUCACUUUCAUUCUUACAAAGCAGGAAUAUAAAGUUGUUGUUGUACUUUAUCCUUUGCUCACAGCUGAAAGGGUCUGCCUAGUAUUCAUUAUUGGAAAUUGCAAAGAAGGUAAAGUAAAGAUGACUGAAAAUCAGGAUACAACUUACAUAUGGAUGGUGAGUAUUUUUUUGCUUAAUUCUCAAAUGUUUAUUACCUUAUUAUUGUUUUGCAUUGCAGUGAGCAAGUUAAGCAUGUCUAUAUUCAUUAAACAUGAAAAACCUAAAAUCUACUAAUUUAAGCUCUAUAGGAACUGGGGGAAAGAGGAGUCCUUUUCUUAG
rnacentral:lncRNA from 1 species